rnacentral:lncRNA from 1 species
AACAAAUACUACUGUGAAAACACACAAGAGGAGCAUAAUGGGGAAAGCUGAAAUUUUGGGCAGUUUUCUGCUUAAUGUAAUGAGGUAAUGGAGCAAGAACCACUUUUUCCUUUCUUUUUUUUUCUCUUGUUUCAGUGGGAGCCCAAUGAUGCUGUCUGGCUGACUUGUCUGAGGUUUAAGCACUAAAAAGUAACAACUUUUAAGUAAAACAAAUGCCAAACUUUGGGUAUAUGCUUAGAACUCAACAGAAAACGAACAAACAAAAAAGAACAAAAAUGGAGAAAGUCUUUAGUGUACAAUGUCCAGAGUAAUUUUAAAAUACUCUUGUUCCAUGCCUAAAUAAAUGGUUGUUUCAGCCAAAGAGAAAUCUUUCCCCAUGAUUUAUUACACUAAUCUGGAUAUAAGGUCUCUGAGCAGGAUUGUCAGUUUAUUAGAACAGCUUUCUUUCUCCUUUCAGAUUUAAUCCACAUGUUGUUGUAUCAACAGAGCCUUUGUCUCUGCUCAGUUAUGAGUUAUCCUUUUUUAAUAAUAAUAAAAAAAAGUGAAAACACAUGUUUUUUAACAGGCUUAUUGCAGAGAAACCUAGGAUGCCAUAGGGAGAGGUGACAAUCAAAUGGUGACUCUGAUUUGUAACUUCAAAGUGGUGGUGCUUAUAAAAGGGUGAAGAAUGGCCCUUUUCCCUCUCCUGGGGCAGUGACUGUGGCAAGCCCAGCAGGGACAGGAGGAGGGAGCUUUAUCUUUGGCCAGGAUUUCCGAGAGUUUUUUCCCCAGCUUGUGCAGUGAUGCUAAACAUGCUCUUUUUAGUUAACUCUAAUUUCCUUCCUUUUUUUUUAAAGGGGAACUUAUCUAGAGGUGUAUGUAAUUCACAUUUCCUUCCUUCCUCCCUUACACAGAAGAAGUUCUUUCUUGGACCCCUCCUGUUUUCUAAAUGUGUAUCCCUGUUCCUGGUGGCUGCUGGCCCUGUUGCUGCUCAGAACAGCUUGGAGUGGAAUCAUUCUGGAGCAGUGGUAAAUGAAGAUGAUGUUUGACUUGCAGGAGAAAUUUCUCUUUAAGUGGAUUUUGCAGAGCACUGUACUGUGUUGUGCUUUCAUCUACAAUAUCUUCAGGCAACCUCACCCCACUUUGAAGCUGGCCAUUCUUUGAGCAGCUGAUUGCAUUGGACAACUCCAGAGGUCCCUCCCAAACUGACUGACUCUGAUUCUCUUUUCUUCUCGAGUUCUGGCAAAGAUGCUUCUUUUGGCUUCAUUUCCAUCUCCCUUCAUGUUCAACAGCUUUCAUCAGGUUCCCAUCAUAAGCAGUUCUUUAAACUGAAGUGAUGUGUAAACAUCAGGAACAGUUUCUAAACUGUAACAUGAGUUUCCUUCCCUCAUAGUUUAGACUUUUUUUAUGCUGCCAUAUUCAGAUUAUAUGAAAAAUCCAUUCUCCUUUAUUGCUGUGCAUUAAGAGCUAACAACCUUGUUUUUGUCCUCAGAGAGAAAUGUUUUACCAUGGGGAAAUAAAAAGAAUAGUUCUCUAAAAGUUAAUGGGUUA